GUAUGAAUGUAUGUACUAGUUUGAAAAAUUGAAGAUUUAUUAUUAGAAAAAGAAAGAAAAGAUAUCAAAAAGCACAAUCUCCAUUGCCUCCCAUUUUAGUAGGGAGGGAAGAACUCUCACAACACAACACAAACCUAUCUUUCUUUCUUUCCUCUCCGACAACCUCAAAAAACAACUAUGAACAACAACUAACCUUAACCUUAACCUUAACAACAUCAAAAAACAAAUAAUGUCACUCAUUUUCAUUUUCUUUCUCUUAUCUCACUUCACUCUCUUCACUUCUCCUUCACCCAUUAACAGCAACAACUCCAAUGUCAUUAUUUUAACACCAAACAAAACCCUUUCAAGCCAAAAUCAAACCUUUGAACUUUGUUUCUUAAAUUUACAAAACCAAAACCAACAACAACCUCGUUACUAUCUAGUUAUCCGUUUCACUUCUCUUCCUUCACCAAACAUCAUUUGGGUCGCAAACCGUAACAAACCCAUUUCAUCUCUUUCCGGUUCAUCUCUUCAAUUAACCCAAACCGGUCAAUUAGUACUCCUUACUCAAAACGCCGUCGUUUUAUGGCAAACCAAAACCAAUUUCAACACAAACAACAAAACCAGUACCACCAUACUUCAACCGAAGCUUUUAGAAAAUGGUAACUUCAUUCUUGUUAAUAAUCACAACGGUGUCGUUUUAUGGCAAAGUUUUGAUGAACCAACUGACACGUGGCUACCAGGUAUGAAUCUAACUAGGGUUCAUAAUUUACUUUCAUGGAAGACUUUAACAAACCCUAGUAAUGGUUUUUAUUCAUUAAGGUUGAAACCACCGAAUUAUGGUCAAUUUGAGUUAGUUUUCAAUGAAACUGUAUCUUAUUGGUCUACUGGUAAUUGGACUGGUGGGUCAUUUAGUGAUGUACCUGAGAUGAUGAUUCCUUAUCUUUAUCGGUUUGAUUUUAAAGACGCCUUUUUGCCGACUGCGUCGUUUGGAUUCUCCGAAAGGACGAUGGAUAACGGUGUUAGACCGCCUACGAUGUUUCGUGUUGAGCCGUUUGGUCAGAUUCGGCAGUAUACUUGGUCGAAUCAGGCUGGUUCGUGGAAUAUGUUUUGGUCGAGGCCUGAAUCGAUUUGUUCGGUUCGGGGUGUUUGUGGGAAGUUUAGUGUUUGUACGGGGGAAAUGUCGAGGGUUUGUGAGUGUGUUAAGGGUUUUGUGGCGGUUGACGGUGGUGGUUGGGGUUCGGGUGAUUAUUCGGAAGGUUGUUGGAGAGGGGAGAGGGUUUGUGAUGAAAAUGAUGGUUUUGAAGAUUUAGGUGCUGUUAGGUUUGGUUUUGGUAAUGUGAGUACUUUUACGGCUAAAUCUAAAAGCUUGUGUGAGAGUGGUUGCUUGGGUUCUUGUGAUUGUGUUGGUUUGUCUUUUGAUGAAAAGAAUGGCUUUUGUAAGAGUUAUUUUGGGUCUCUUUUUGAUUUUCAAAAUUUAACUGCUUUGGAGAGUGGUCGUGGUGAUGGGAAUGUGUUGUAUGUCAGGGUUCCUGGUGGCAGGGGUGAGGGGAAGAUUAAGAGGUUGAGUGGUAACGUUUUAAGUGGUGUUAUAAUUGGGUGUGUUUUGUUUUUGGUUUUGGGUGUGGUGGUGGUGACUUUGGUGGUGUUGAUAAAGAGGAAGAGAUUGAAGAAAGAGAAUGAUAAUGAGUUUGAUCCUAUUUUGAAUUUGAAGUUGUUUACUUACAAGGAGCUUCAAUUGGCGACUCGAGGGUUUUCUGAGAAAGUUGGGCAUGGUGGGUUUGGGACGGUGUUUAAAGGGGAGUUGAGUGAUUCUACUGUUGUUGCGGUGAAGCGUUUGGAGAGGCCGGGAGGUGGGGAGAAAGAGUUUAGGGCCGAGAUUUCAACGAUUGGGAACAUUCAACAUGUUAAUCUUAUGAGGCUAAGAGGUUUUUGCUCUGAGAAUGCGCAUCGACUUUUGGUUUAUGAGUACAUGCCGAAUGGUGCCCUUAGCGCUUAUCUGCGAAAGGAUGGGCCUUGUUUGAGUUGGGAUGUUAGGUUCAGAGUGGCGAUUGGAACUGCUAAAGGCAUAGCGUAUUUACACGAGGAAUGUAGAAGUUGCAUUAUACAUUGUGAUAUCAAACCUGAAAACAUUCUUUUGGAUGGUGAUUUCACUGCCAAUGUUUCUGAUUUUGGAUUGGCAAAGCUAAUUGGCAGGGACUUCAGUAGGGUGUUGGCAACCAUGAGGGGUACUUGGGGAUAUGUAGCACCGGAAUGGAUUUCUGGCGUUGAAAUUACAACUAAAGCUGAUGUUUACAGCUAUGGAAUGACAUUGCUAGAACUCAUAAGCGGUCGCCGGAAUGUGGAGGCACCACCUUCGUCUGGUGAUAGAAAGAGUGGUUGUGAGACAGAGGAGAAAUGGUUCUUUCCUCCGUGGGCAGCACAGCUGAUAAUCGAGGAUAAUAUGGCUGCUGUGGUUGAUAAGAAGCUUGGAAAUGUAUAUAACAUUGAGGAGGUCAAGAGAGUAGCGAUGGUAGCAGUUUGGUGCAUUCAGGAUGAUGAGACAAUGAGACCUACCAUGGGUACGGUGGUGAAAAUGUUAGAAGGGUUAGUGGAGGUGCCUCUUCCACCACCGCCUAAGUUGCUACAAGCGUUGGUUGCCGGAGAGUCCUUUCACGGUGUCAAGGCUUAUUCAAGUAAUGCAGUUUCUACUGUUGACAGUUCAUCUGGUUACGACAACAUGGAAGUGUCGGCUGCUGAUUCAGAGUCAUGUAUAGGAGAUGUUUUUUCAGAAUCAUAGGAAACAAGGCAAGUUACUUUUCAUAUUCUAGCAACCAGCAAAACUACAGUAAUAAUUUUUUACUAUGUUCAUGUUGUGGCUGAUCACUAGAUCUAAGGGUUAAAUAAGGAAAAAUUGGAAUGGGAAAAAAUUGCAAUUUGAUGUGGAAUAUACUACUUGUAUUGUUUAGUUUGACUGUAUCUAGUUGCUAACAGACAACCAUGUGAUGAAAUCUUUUCAAAGUUGUUCACCAAAAACUCAACUCAAUGAUUAUUUUAUCCUUUGAUGUUACAAGGAAAAGGAUUAUUUCGACCGUCCGAUUAACAAUAAAUGGCUGAGAUUAAAACUGCGAUUAAACUAUACUGAUAAUCAGAACCGUCCAAUUGCUUUUGAAUGGCUGAGAUUGUUUAUUGUGUGUAACUGCGUAAAGUAGUUACAACAGGGAAUUCAGAUCCUUAACUUAAAUGUUGCUAGUGAAAACAUGCAGCAUCUUCUGGAGAAGCAAAAAACAUUCUUGGUUAUAGCCAUUUUUAUUUGUUUUUUAUGAAUGUAUCAGUAUAUAAAUUCUUAUGUUCCAUUUUGUGAAACAUAGAGUGGGAUAUAGCCUUGUAAAUUGCAUGUGCGUUUGUAUUUUUAGUAUAGUUAGGUAGAUUAUGGGGGUCCAUGUCAUUUGUUUUGUAUUGAUCAAAUAUUCCAUAAAUCUUUGUAUAUUUUGUUUCUUUAUCAGGAAACUACAAUCAAACAAUCUAGACCAAAUUCAUGAUUCGAA